rnacentral:rRNA from 1 species
CCUACGGGUGGCUGCAGUGGGGAAUAUUGGGCAAUGGAGGCAACUCUGACCCAGCAAUGCCGCGUGAGUGAUGAAGGUAAUUUUAUUGUAAAGCUCUUUUCUUUGGAACGAAUAAAUGACGGUACCAAAGGAAUAAGCCCCGGCUAACUACGUGCCAGCAGCCGCGGUAAUACGUAGGGGGCAAGCGUGGUUCGGAAUGACUGGGCGUAAAGGGUGUGUAGGUGGUUUGAUAAGUUAGAUGUGUAAUACCCAGGGCUUAACUCGGGUGCUGCAUCUAAAACUGUUAGACUUGAGUGCUGAAGAGUAUAGGGGAAUGACAAGUGUAGCGGUGAAAGGCGUAGAUAGUAGGAGGAACACCAGGGGCGAGGGCGAAUAUCUGGACAGCAACUGACACUGAGGCACGAAAGCGGGGGGAGCAAAAAGGAUUAGAUACCCUAGUAGUC